GUCGGCGCGGCGCCCAUGCGGGCCUCGGGGCUUCCUGUGCGCCCGGCCGCAGGCGUGCGGAGCCGCGCGUCGACGCCCUAUCCCGCGGCCAGCCGAGCGAGGAGGAAACCGACGGUCCGAGAGGGCGUGUGGACAAGGUCUCACGGCCACCGAGUCGCAGAGCUCUGUUCGAACCAGGAAUUAACACUCCUGGACUUGGACUAGAGUGAUUCAAGAUCACAUAUGAUACAGGUACCAGAGGCAACACUGGCUUCAAACCCAUUCGCUGAUUCCCUCUCGCAGAGACCUUCUUGGGAUUCUUCAGCAAUGCUAUCAACUUCAAUGGUUAUGUCACUCUCACUUUUUAUACUGCGAGACUCAUCUUGACUGAGAGUUCUUAGAAGAGAGAAAAUCACAACUACCUUAAAAGAAUCAAGAGGAUUAUCAUAAUGAGAAAACAAGAUUUAUAAAAAACAGUACAAUAUAAAUAAUACCUACAUUUAUCAUAAAGGAUAUAACUCUAUAUACAUACUU